AUGUUGAGGGAGAUGCGUGGUUGUCCUCUUUCAUCUGGUUACAACUGUGUACUUGAUGUUACAAACUUCCGUCAUCGGUGGUUGGAUUCACUAAUGCAUUUCGAGAAGCAGAAUGGUUGGACAGUUAAGAAAAUUGAAACUGAGAACGAGUCAUUAGUUCAAGAUUGUAUUCGUGAAAAACUUGGAUCCGUGCCCAUUCAAGAUGAAUAUGCUCAAUAUACACAGUACUUCUUUGAGGAAGGAAGCAACCCCUAA